GACGUAGGGCGCGAGCGUUGUCCGGAUUUAUUGGGCGUAAAGAGCUCGUAGGCGGUCUGUCGCGUCGGCUGUGAAAACCCGAGGCUCAACCUCGGGCCUGCAGUCGAUACGGGCAAACUAGAGUACUGCAGGGGGAGACUGGAAUUCCUGGUGUAGCGGUGAAAUGCGCAGAUAUCAGGAGGAACACCGGUGGCGAAGGCGGGUCUCUGGGCCCGAUACUGACGCUGAGGAGCGAAAGCGUGGGGGAGCGAACAGG
rnacentral:rRNA from 1 species